rnacentral:rRNA from 1 species
CGGAGUCUGCAACCCGACCUCCGUGAAGCUGGAUUCGCUAGUAAUCGCGCAUCAGCCAUGGCGCGGUGAAUACGUUCCCGGGCCUUGUACACACCGCCCGUCAAGCCAUGGGAGGCCGGGGGGUGGCUUGAAGUGCGUCGCCGCAAGGCGCGCCCUAGAGCAAAACCGGUGACUGGGGCUAAGUCGUAACAAGGUAUC